rnacentral:tRNA from 1 species
GUUAAUAUAGUUUCAAAAAAAACAUUAGACCGUGGCUCUAAAAAUAGGAG